GGCGCAAGUGUGGAAUUUUGCGCGAAGGGGGAAAACCUGUGACGCAACCGCCCCGCGUGGGAUAAGAGCUUUCAUGGAGCGAAGCUCUGUCUAGUGGGAAAAAACCACUGGGUGAUUAUACCAAUAAGUGUUGACAGUACCCCUGAAGAAAGCACCCCCGAUCUCCCCGCCACAACCCGCGGGAAUACAGGGGGGGAGAACGUUAUUCCCAAUUACUGGGCGUAAAAAGGGCGUAUGCGGGCUUUGAAAACACGUAUGAAAAACCGGGGCUCUUACCCGGAAAUGCACUUUAAACUCUGGCACUUGAGUAUGGGAGAGAGAAUAGCAAUUCCCGCUGUGUAGCGGAAAUGCGCAUAUAUCUUGAGAAAAAUCGUUGUUUAAAGCGACUUUCUGUGGCUCUACUGAGACUCAGACGCGAAAGCGCGUGGAGAACACACGAGUAUAUACACCGUGAUACCACACACCAUACACUAAUAACAAUAUGUGUCGGUUGUUGACCCGUGCUGUGCCGCCGCAAACACCUUAAUUGAUGCUCCUGCUGAGUAGCACCACCGCGAGGAUGCUCCUCUGAUGUGACGA
rnacentral:rRNA from 1 species